rnacentral:rRNA from 1 species
UACAGAGGGUGCAAGCGUUGCUCGGAAUCAUUGGGCGUAAAGCGCACGUAGGCGGUUCGUUAUGUCGGAUGUGAAAGCCCUUGGCUUAACCGAGGAAGUGCAUCCGAAACUGGCGAGCUAGAGUACUAAAGAGGAUCGCGGAAUUCCCGGUGUAGAGGUGAAAUUCGUAGAUAUCGGGAGGAACACCGGUGGCGAAGGCGGCGAUCUGGGUAGAUACUGACGCUGAGGUGCGAAAGCGUGGGGAGCAAACAGG